UGGGGAAUAUUGCACAAUGGGCGCAAGCCUGAUGCAGCAACGCCGCGUGAACGAUGAAGGUCUUCGGAUCGUAAAGUUCUGUUGCAGGGGAAGAUAAUGACGGUACCCUGUGAGGAAGCCCCGGCUAACUACGUGCCAGCAGCCGCGGUAAUACGUAGGGGGCUAGCGUUAUCCGGAUUUACUGGGCGUAAAGGGUGCGUAGGUGGUCCUUCAAGUCGGUGGUUAAAGGCUACGGCUCAACCGUAGUAAGCCGCCGAAACUGGAGGACUUGAGUGCAGGAGAAGAAAGUGGAAUUCCCGGUGUAGCGGUGAAAUGCGUAGAUAUUGGGAGGAACACCAGUAGCGAAGGCGGCUUUCUGGACUGCAACUGACACUGAGGCACGAAAGCGUGGGUAGCAAACAGG
rnacentral:rRNA from 1 species